rnacentral:rRNA from 1 species
UACGUAGGGGUCGAGCGUUGUCCGGAAUCAUUGGGCGUAAAGAGCGUGUAGGCGGCUUGGCAAGUCUGACGUGAAAGCCCGCGGCUCAACCGCGGAUUGUCGUUGGAAACUGCCUCGCUAGAGUCCGGAAGAGGAGAGCGGAAUUCCUGGUGUAGCGGUGGAAUGCGCAGAUAUCAGGAAGAACACCCGUGGCGAAGGCGGCUCUCUGGGACGGUACUGACGCUGAGACGCGAAAGCGUGGGGAGCAAACAGG